GCCGGCCAAACAUGGUGGAGUGAGCACAAUUUAAAAACACAGCAAAAGUGUUUGCGGAACAGAUGAACAAACCGUGAAUAUAAACGAUCAGACUGGCUGCUCCAUGACAUGAACCAUCUACGGAGCAGUUAAUACAACAAUGUGCAGCAGAGGUUGCGCUAUUUUUGUAGUUUUAGUGAGCGAUGUCACAGUCACAUGACUCUGAGUUCACUGAGAUAUGGAGGAGUGUUUGCAAACUGAGCAGCAACAACACAACGGACAAGAAAACAGGACAGCAAAUACAUGGCACACCAACAACAGCCAUGUGUAAAGAUCUGCAGAGCCCAAAGCGGAUAGGCUUCAUCAGAUACCCCGGCUUGAAUAAUGGGGAUUCUCCAGGUGAUGGAGAACCAUCACAGGACAUCUUCUGGGACUCUACAUCGCCCACAGCUGGUACUGGGCCCGGACACGUGAACACAAGAGUUGUGGAAAUAUCCGAUAUUGCCAACCGUAUUGCUCCAAAGGAUGUGAAGCGGAAUGAGAAUGAUUCUCCUCUGGUGCAGUGGAUAGGUGACGGUGCCUUCCAUUGCACACCGGAAACACCAACGCCAAGCGUGAGAAAGAAGUCCUCAAGGAAGAAUAGCGUGGACGACCUCAAGAAACUGGCCUGGCAGUUUGAUGAAAACAUGAAGCAGGACAGAAAACUGACAGAGACAUCAGUCCUCGGUAAUGUGAAGGACCCAACGGAUCAGGUGGAGGCCGAGCUGCACGCUCUAUUUGACUCCUCCACCCAGCAAAUCAGCGGCUUCCUGAGCCAGGGCUCGUCAACAUCGGCCAGCGCACAGAAAACAGCUGCACAUCCUGCUGGAGCACGGGGAUCCUGUAAUGACGACUGGGAGGACGACGACCUCCUUGACUCCUUUGUGCUGUCUAUUCCUGACAAAAUCACUAAAUAUCAGAAGGGUGGUGUAGACUCUGUUAAAGACAUUUCAGACAGCUUAUGGGAUGAUGGGGACGACGACGCGCUGCUCUACCAGGUAUGUGACACCGUGGAGAAGAUCUCUAACAGUCAGCCACAGCAAGCAAGCACCAGCAACUGCCAAGCAAAGCAAGAUAUUUAUGUGGACAGACAGAGAAAAACCCCUGUGCCAAUCGACACGUCCCGGCUCAUGGUCGCCGGUGCUAAUAGUCAGUCGCCACGUGCUUUUUUUCGCUCUAACUCAUUACCGGAGACUAACAGUAAAACUGUGAACUACCAUGGGUGGAACAUUCCCAUAAAGGGUGCCAGCAACAGAUCACAGACGUCUCAGAGCCACCCGGGAAGCCGUGGGAGUCUGGGCACAUUUAACCAGGACAGGGAUUCCUCUGGAACUUUCCAGGCCAGGAAUGUGGACAUGAAGCCGCACUCAGUGUCAGCUGGGACAUCGCAGAGCUCCAAGUCCCACCACACGGCCUUCAAGAGAAACGUGUCUCACUCGGCAGCUAUAAGCAGCAAAGGUGUGUAGUGUGAUUCUGUGUCGUUUAUUUAUGGCAUCCCGUUGGAUUGGACGUCAUCUGAACAGGACAUCGCGCGCUCACUGCUUGAUAGCAAGAAGUUUUUGUCACAAGCCAGAUGACAGCAAAGUGCUCUGCAGCCGAGAUCGAGAGGAAGAAGCAGGAGGCGUUAGCCAGGAGACGACAGCGAAUGCAGAACGCCCCGAAACCGUAGAGGAGCUUCGUCCGGAAUAAAGGGAUAUUAUAACACUACAAUAAGCCUUUAGAAAACGAAUCAGUCCUUUUCACCAAUGAUGGCAUCUAAGAUAUAUCAUGUUGGUAUUAAUCAGUAUUAAUUAUUAUUAUUAUUAUUGUUGAAAAAGCUGCACUGUUCUCUGAUCUGCUGCUGGGAUAACAAUAGAAGAGAUUUCCCAGAGCUUUUCUAAUGCUGACUGAAAAAGAGUUUACAUUCCAGUUGGAAAAAGUUCUAAAUGUUCUGUUGUGUAAUGUCUGCACAUAUUUUGGAUAACACUUUUGUUUGCUUUUGUUUAAAAGUAGUAAAUAGUUUCAUCUGUGUUUCUCUUGGAACUGCAAUACAAGGGCAGAGAGUCGUUAACACAUGAUUGGUUGAAGUUAUUCAUUAGACAUGUCUUCAUCUAAGUAACAAUGAAGACAGUCAUUGCUGUAUUGUUGACUGUAUGUGUUUGAUCAAACAGUGUAUGUGUCUUCCUAUAUAUAUAUAUAUAUAGCCGACUUUUGUUUGUGCCUGAAAAAAAUGUUUUGCUUUUAUUUGCACAGGCCAGAAUGAUGUGUUAUAUUGUAAAGACAGUGAUCCUCUGUAGACAACAAAUCAUUUUAAUGGCCAUUCACCUGAAGAUGAUUGCCUUACUAUUCCUAGAAGUUGUGAUCAGCUGUGUUAUGAGGGUAGACUUGUAGUAAACAGUGCCUUUGUUUUUUGACUCCAGCCUGUUACCUCACAACAACAUGAUGGACUUAUUGCGAAUAUGAAUUUUGAAUAAACACAAACUACUACUGUU